AUGAGCAAAGGGCUACUUCAGCCCAUACAAGAAAGGCUUAGCAAAAGGCUCGUGGACUGGAGCGAAAGAUAUGUGUCCAGUGCAAGCAAGGAGGUCCUAAUUAAGGCGGUGGCUAAGGCAAUCCCAACUUACGUAAUCAGUGUCUUCAAGCUGCCCAUGUUAGUAUGUGAUGAUCUAUCGUGUUUGAUUCGGUAAUACUGGUGGGGUGUUGAAGAUGACAAAAGGAAAAUGGCUUGGCUCGCUUGGGAUAAGAUGAUUCUGCCUAAAUCAAUGGGCGGCCUGGGAUUUAGAGAUAUGAGAGCUUUUAACCAAGCGAUGCUUGCCAAACAAGCUUGGAGAUUGAUAGAUCACCCUGAAAGUCUAGUUGCAAGACUACUAAAAGCUAAGUAUUUCCCUGCAGGAGAUUUAGUGGAUACGGUUUUUAUCGGAAAUGCUUCAGCAGUUUGGCGAGGAAUUGAGCAUGGACUCCAACUAGUGAAGAGAGGCAUGAUAUGGCGAGUAGGAAAUGGUAGUAAAAUUCGGAUAUGGAGAGAUCCCUGGAUCCCUAGGGGUCCAUCUCUACGACCUAUUUCGCCAAAAGGAAGAUGUCGACUCAAAAAAGUCUCUGAUUUACUUGAUGUGCACGGACGAUGGAACAUGGAGAUACUGAACAAAUACUUCUGGCCAGUGGAUGUUCAGACCAUUUGCUCCAUCAGAACGUCUCUCAAUCAGGAGGAAGAUUUUAUAGUAUGGCAUCCGGGAAAAUUUGGCACCUUUUCUGUAAAAAGUGCAUAUCAUCUUGCGAUGUGUGUGUUGGAAGUAAACCCAACGUCCGGUCCGAUUACAAGUAUGUAUACGGGUCCAACUAGUAUAGGAAUCCAUUACCUAGUAGGAUUAGUACUGGUCCUAGGCUAG
rnacentral:rRNA from 1 species